rnacentral:rRNA from 1 species
UGAGGAAUAUUGGGCAAUGCCCGCAAGGGUGACCCAGCAACGCCGCGUGGAGGAUGAACGUCGUAAGAUUGUAAACUCCUGUUAGAGGGGAAGAAUAGUACCGGUUGGACCGGUAUAUGACUGUACCCUCAGAGAAAGCCCCGGCUAACUACGUGCCAGCAGCCGCGGUAAUACGUAGGGGGCAAGCGUUGUCCGGAUUUACUGGGUGUAAAGGGCGCGCAGGCGGGAUAAAAAGUCAGUGGUGAAAUCCUACAGCUUAACUGUAGAACUGCCUUUGAUACUUUUAGUCUUGAGUUCGGGAGAGAGAGACGGAAUUCCAGGUGUAGUGGUGAAAUACGUAGAUAUCUGGAAGAACACCAGUUGCGAAGGCGGUCUCUUGGUCCGACACUGACGCUGAGGCGCGAAAGCGUGGGGAGCAAACA